ACACACUUCGCUCAGCUACCUCUCGCUCUCUCUCGAAAUCUCUUCUCUUUUCCCAUCGAGUUCCCUUGCCGUCGGAAAUUGGUAGCCAGCGCCGCCGGACUUUCACGCCGGUUGCUAAGUUUUUAGAUUCCAAUAGCUGUUUUGCACGAUUCGGCAGUACGUCUUCAUUACCCACCAUUUUGUCGUCAUUACUCACUGAUCCUGUGACCUUUUGGUAUAUACGCUCAUCAGUUUGGUAAAAUGUGGUAGUUGUAUUAUAAUUAACUUUUGUAUUUUGGAUCUUGCUACACUGUAAAUUAUCUAUAAGAAUUAUGGUUUUGUUUAAAA